GACAACUUGCCAGAGUGGUUAAUGGGUAAGACUUGAAACUCAGCUCCGAUGUUUCAGCUAUCUUAUGGCUUCGGCCUCGUAGGUUCAAAUCCUGCAGUUGUCG